rnacentral:lncRNA from 1 species
AGGGAGGGUCUUAUCCAAAGAGUACGUAAAUCAGGACCCCUUCAGCCCCCUCUUCAUGGCUGAGAGAGCCAUGUCUUCGUUGAGGUCUCGAAUCUCAAGCAUGGCCGCAUUGAAUCGCAUCACGAAGUGUCAGAGCGUCUCAUUUUCUCCUUGCUUGAGCUGUCCGAGGUUCGUGACGGCUUCUGGCUGAUGCUGAAAUAGGCCACGAAAGAGUGCUCGAGCUACCUGAAGGAGUGAAUACUUCC